AAGCACAUUUCGUUGUCUUUCUCGCAACUAAUGUGAGUAAAGAUAUUUCUUAUGUGCUAUAUAAAUAAUGAAGGAUAAUUAACAGUGUGCCAUUUCUAGUUGCCACUACUGUCAGUCACCUUUAGACAAAU